rnacentral:lncRNA from 13 species
CGUUGGAUCUCACGGGGAACUUCCACAGGGUAUUAUCGACAAGAGACGACUCAACAUGGCGCGCGUCCGUUACGUUCUGUACGGUGAAUGGGAUCGUUGCUCCCGCGACGAACGUAGGGCGCGCCGUAGUAAGCGCUCGUCAAAUCCGUCAUUCCCUUCAAUGGAGCGGGGGCUCGGUGGGAGCAACGGUGACCGGCUAUGACCCCGAUUCGAUCGAGGAGUCGCAGACGAAAGGAUUGCAGGAAGAUACAGGAAAAGGAGGGACCUGCUGUAAUAUUCUUUGAAAAUUGAAAUUGUCUAUUUUCAUGGUUACUUAGUUUAUUACAAAUUCGUUUCUUAUUACUGUUCGGCGAGACGAAACAGCGAGACGAAAAAUUAUAUGAUUUAAAAAUAUUAAUAAUCUUUUAUAAAUAAAAAUAACAAUAUACCUGUAUAAUUAAUUUGUCACUUUGAGAAUUAGGAGAUACUGGAUUCCACAGAAUGCUUCUUUAUAUAUUGCAAAUAAUGGAAAAAUUCUCAAUUUAAAUCCACUCUUACAAGAAUUAUUCUCAAAAAUUUUCCUUAUAUACAUGUAUUUGUAUCAACAAUUGCUUCUCGUCUUCUUUCUAUAAAAAUAAAUAUCGAAUUUAAAAAA